GAAUUGUUGAAGAGUCCCACAAUAAGACGAAACGGCCGUCCAAUGC
rnacentral:hammerhead_ribozyme from 1 species